rnacentral:lncRNA from 1 species
CGCCCUCCUUGUAGGACUAUCCCUCUGCCAUGUGGAACCCGGUGUACUUCCUGCUUUGAUCAAUGGGUGUGGGGGCUCUAUGGCCAGGGUGUGGCUUGCCGUGUUCUCUCUUCUGCUGACACAAUGACUGGCAAUACUCAGUCCAGAGUGAAGAAGAGGCCGAGCAGAGCUGCAGCUGACCUACAGUGGACAUACAAUACGAGGAAGAACCUUUGCUGUUGUGAGCCUCCGAGCUUUGAUUUGUUCCUGUAGCAUAACCCAGCUUAUCCUGGGUGAUCCAGCAAGCAAACCUUUCUCAGCUCAGCCACACAUAUUCACACCUGUGGGGAGGCCAACAACCAGGACCUGAAUGGAACCACGAUCGAGGGUAAUCCAGUACAGACAAUGCACACCGAAACAGAAGGUCUAGAGAUGGGGGAACUGUGGCCCAGAGAAGUAAAGUAACUUGCCUAAAGUCACACAGCUGGUCAGCGGCCAGGUUGUGGCUACACUCGGGUACUCCGAACAUCCAGCGAGGAAUUGCAGUCUCUGACUCCCUGAGCUUUACAACCAAACAGAAGUUACAAAUUGUUAAAGCCCAGAUGGCUGGGCUCCCACUAAAGUUGUCGCUAAUCCCAGGACCUUGAAGUUCUUUUACGGAGAAACUAAUGUCCAGAGAAUAUCAAGAAACUUAAGCUUCCCAGGCUCAACUCCUCGGCUUCCUGACGUCAGAGUCUCCCGUCCACCAUGGAGAUGAACAGUCAAGGACGCUCACCUGAGAAAUCUUUUGUCUCCUCUGCUGGAAGCAGCCCCAGAUGCAGGCGGAUGGGAAAAUGCAGACCAAGAAGGCCACGGCCCCCUCCCCUACCUAAAACCCCAAAUAAAAACCCCUACCCAUAUCUCAAAGGGGAGCAAGCAACUUUGGGGGCACUAGCCCUUGCUUUGCUCUCUCUGCCUGGCAAAGUAAAGCUUUCCUUUUUCUCCCAAGACUCUGUUCUCGUUAUUGGAUUGGCAUCAGGAUCAGAGACUGAACUUUUGGUAAUAGUACAAGCCUGAGAGUGGGCUUUUCAUUUAUAACACAAGUACCUGACUUAAGCUUUGAUUGUGAGGCAUCCACUCCAAACAGAGCUAUCUGGAAUAAACACACUGCCAGCCACAGGACCAGAUAAAGAGCCAGGCCAUCUCCCUGUACUGAACAGCCUUUGUUUCAGAGAUCUUGGUGGAUUUCAGUAAUUGACCAAUUGGGCGACUUGUUUUUUCUUGCUUUAAAUUCACUCUUAGGUUUUAAAUUCACUAAUAAAGAGUGAACCCCUGAAACCUUAUGCUCCUACCCUCAAUCCCAUAAAAGCAGAACACCAGGCCCGUGCACUCUUUACCUGUGACCUGUGUGGCCCCAGGUGUGCUAUGUAAUUUCCAG